AAAUCUAAAAUUCGAUAAUUUCUUCGGAAACUGAUUUCACUUAACGCGAAAAUUAAAAACUGUCACGUGACCAACAGGAGCGUCAAAACUCAGCAUCAAAAUCGACCUUUAAGAAAUCAUCUGUUCAAUUGAUAUAUAUGUGAAAUCUGUGACGCCUAAAUUGUUUCUAUUUUUUUGCAAUAAGUUUUAUUGCUAUUAAAGUAUUCUUAAAAUACGUUCCAAUACAGUUAUUUAAAUAAUAAAAUAUUUAACAAAGAGUUUGUGAUAUAUUAAUUGGUUGAUUAAUUACGAUUUUCAAGAUGGAAAAAGGUUACACGUUUGUUAAGGAACACAGGAUUGUGUAUGAGUGGAAAAUAAAGGAAAUUAGUUCACAUUUGAAAAAGACAGAAGGUAAUUCCACUAUUUUAGAGUCAUCAGAAUUUUCAACAGGAGCUAGAAUUAACGACAAGUGGCGUAUUCAAUUAUAUUUAAAUAAUGGUAUUAACCCAGCAAAUCGUGAAAAAUACAUAUCAAUAUUUUUAGCUAGUUUUAAUAACGAGGCUGUAACGCCUCACAUUAAAUUUUCUAUAUUCAAUAAACAACAGGAAUUAGUCUUAAUCCGAAAUGUCCAAAAAGAAUUCAAGACAAAAGAAAUUUGGGGAUUCAGUCAAUUUAUAGAGAAAGAAAAAUUAUUAAAAGAUAAAGCUGAACUGAUACCGAAUGACAUUUUGACAGUAUACGCUGAAGUGAUUGUUUCGGAUAAUGUCACUACAGUUCCAAUUAAAAAUUCAUUUAAAUUUUCAAACAGACAAAUGGCAGAUGACUACAAAGAAAUUUACAACAGCAAAGCCAACAGCGAUGUCACUUUUGUCGUUGGAGAUAAAGAGUUCCCAGCACAUAAAUUAAUAAUGAUGGUGCGUAGUCCAGUUUUUAGUGCAAUGUUCACUCAUGAGAUGGUUGAAAAAAAGUCGAAACAAGUUUCUAUAACUGACAUCACUCCCGAAAUCUUUGAAAAAGUCCUACAGUAUAUUUACACCGAUGAGGUAAUUGAUCUGGAUGUCGUUGCUGCCGAUUUGUUAGAAGCCGCCGACAAGUAUCAACUUCUGUCACUCAAAAAAAUGUGUGAACACUCACUCUGUUCAACUUUGAACUGUCAAAAUGCCGUAAAACGGAUGAUACUAGCUGAUCGUCAUGAUGCUGGGCAAUUGCUGGAUUACGUUAUUGAAUGUAUUACAGCCGAUGCAUCAAAUAUUGUAGCGACAGAUGAUUUUAAAGAACUUGAAAAAUCAACUUCAAUAUCUUUUGGAUUAAAACUAUUUAAGAAACUGGCAUCAGAUUUCAAUAACAACGAACCUAAAUUUAGUUAUUCAUCAUAAUGCCAAGCAAGUGGAAGAAAAUAUAAUUUAAAUAUUUUGAACUUUAUAUCCUAAGGAGAAAAUUUUUACACAUUAUUGAUUAUCAAAAAUACUUUAUAUAUUUGUUGCAUUUUCUAAAAAAUAUUAUGUCAUAAACAUAAGUCUAUCAUUUAUAAUAAUUAUUUACAAAGUUUACCAAUUUAUAUAAAUAAAAAAAAAAAGAAAAUGAUAAAAGCUCAAGAGUAUUUAUGCUGAUAAGAAUUCCUCCAGAUAAUUUCUUCAUCACAUAUUUCUUCUAGUUACGGAAACAUCUCCAUGGGUAUUUGAACCUCCGAUUAUGGCUGCUUGUCAAGAGUGUCGAAGAAAAGCACCAAAUAAUUUUUUUCUUUGUUUUUUGGUUCUGAAUUCAUUAUUUAAUACUGAUAAAUUAGUCAAUAAAAAACAUUCAAAAAUAAAUUAUUCGAAAAUAAAUUUUUUUUCAACAUCGCUCAUAUCUUUCAAAUUUGCCGCCAAACUGAUUCGCUGACAGUGACAUUUAAAUCUGUCACAUGACUAAAUUAUAUGCUCAGUCAGGCAUGAAAAUGCGCCUUAAGGAAAUCAGCUGUUCACUUUAUACUUGAUAUAUAUGUGAAAUCUGUGACGCAUUAAUUGUUUCUAAUAUUUUUUUGCAAUAAGUUUCAUUGAUAUCAAAGUGUUGUUAAAAUACGUUCAAAUAUAAUUAUUUAAAUAAUAAAAUAUUUAAUAUAAAGUUUGUGGUGUAUCAAUUGUUUAUUGAAUCACGAUUUUCAAGAUGGCAAAAGGUUACACGUUUGUUAAGGAACACAAGAUUGAGUAUGAGUGGGAAAUAAAGAACAUUAGUUCUCUUUUGAAAAAGAUAGAAGGUGAUUCCACUAUUUUAAAGUCAUCAGAGUUUUCCACAGGAGCUAAAAUUGACGACAAGUGGAGUAUUGAAUUACAUUUGAAUAAUGGUACCAGCCCUGUAUAUUCUGAAAAAUAUAUAUCACUAUUUUUGUAUAAUUUGACUGACUACACUGUAACAGCUGAAGUUAAAUUUGCAAUGAUUCAUACUGUACAAUACAGUGGCUCUACUGAACAAUACAUUGUCUUUCAAGAGAAUUUUAAGCACGAAUUCAAGAUGAAUGGCGGCCAGGGUUGUGAUGAAUUCAUACAGAAAGAAUACUUAUUAAAAACUAAGUCUUCUCUGAUACCUGAUGACGUUUUAACAGUAGGCGUUGAAGUCAUUGUUUCAGAUAAUGUCAGUACAGUUCCCAUUAAAAGUUCAUUUAACUCGUCAAAAGGACAAUUGAUAGAUGACUUUAAAAAACUUUACAAAAGUAAAGUCAAUACUGACGUCACUAUUUUCAUUGGAGAUAAAGAGUUCCAAGCACAUAAAAUUAUUAUGACGGCACGUAGUCCAGUUUUUAGUGCAAUGUUUGAUCAUGAGAUGAUUGAAAAAAAAACAAAACAGGUUUCCAUAACAGACAUCAGUCCCGAAAUCUUUGAAAAAGUCCUAGAGUACAUUUACACUGAUCAGGUAACUGAUCUAGAUGACAUUGCUGCUGAUUUAUUAGAAGCCGCCGACAAGUAUCAACUCCUGUCGCUUAAGAAAAUGUGUGAGCACUCACUCUGUACAACUUUGAAAUGUGACGAUGUCGUAAAACGAAUGAUACUCGCUGAUCGUCAUAAUGCUGGACAGUUGUUGGAUUACGUUACUGAAUGUCUUGUAGCCGAUGGAUCAAAUAUUAUAGAGACAGAUGAUUUUGAAGAAUUUGAAAAAUCAUCGCCAUCUUUAGGAUUGCUGAUGUUCAAAAAACUAGUAUCACGUUUAGAUUUCAACAAACCUAAAAUUACUUAUUCAUCUUAGUGCCUAGUAAGCGGAAAAGAAAAUUAAAAUAGUUUACACUUUUACAACUUAUGAAGAAUAUUUUUACACAUUAAUUAUUAUCAAUAAUACUUUAUAUAUUUGUCGAUUUUUCUCACAAAAAUUAUGUAAUAAAUAUUAGUUUAUCAUUUAUAAUAACUAUUUACAAAGUAUACCGAUUUAUAUAAAUAAAAAAAAAAAAUAAUAAAAGCUC